rnacentral:piRNA from 1 species
GGGUGAGAGAUUUUAGAACCAGU